rnacentral:rRNA from 1 species
AGUAACGCGUGGAUAACCUGCCUCACACUGGGGGAUAACAGUUAGAAAUGACUGCUAAUACCGCAUAAGCGCACAGUACCGCAUGGUACAGUGUGAAAAACUCCGGUGGUGUGAGAUGGAUCCGCGUCUGAUUAGCCAGUUGGCGGGGUAACGGCCCACCAAAGCGAUGAUCAGUAGCCGACCUGAGAGGGUGACCGGCCACAUUGGGACUGAGACACGGCCCAA